rnacentral:rRNA from 1 species
GCAGCAACGCCGCGUGAGUGAUGAAGGCUUUCGGGUCGUAAAGCUCUGUCGAGGGGAAAGAAAUGUAUUUUGGCGAAUACCCUUAAUACUUGACGGUACCCCUAAAGGAAGCACCGGCUAACUCCGUGCCAGCAGCCGCGGUAAUACGGGGGGUGCAAGCGUUGUUCGGAAUUAUUGGGCGUAAAGCGCGUGUAGGCGGUCUGAUUAGUCUGAUGUGAAAGCCCUGGGCUCAACCCAGGAAGUGCAUUGGAUACUGUCAGACUUGAAUACGGGAGAGGGUAGUGGAAUUCCUAGUGUAGGAGUGAAAUCCGUAGAUAUUAGGAGGAACACCGGUGGCGAAGGCGGCUACCUGGACCGAUAUUGACGCUGAGACGCGAAAGCGUGGGUAGCAAACAGGAUUAGAUACCCUGGUAAA